rnacentral:lncRNA from 10 species
GAACCACCAGAGGGCCUCAGGCGACUCAGGAGGUUUGGGAAGAGACAAAGGCACAUGCUUAGAGGGUCUGGAGAAGGCGAGGAAGAAGGAAGGGAGCCAAGUAAAACAUGUGACUGACCAGGGGCUUUGGAGAAGACAAGCCCUGCAGGAAGGCACGCAUGUGGUCAUUCUGUCUGUAGCCUCCCAUUCCUCCCUGCUUUCCCCAGCUGCAUCUACCUGGAUCCUGAAUUUGAACCAAGUGGUCCAAACGGCCCGGUCACCUGAGCAACCCCUCUGCAGGAACCGCAGGCACAAUAAUGGAUAUGAAGGUGUGACAAAAUUGUUGGCAUCAGAUGAGGUAAAAGAUUUGUACAAAAACAAAAAAGCACAAAAACUGGAAGCAGUCUGGAGUCUGUCAACAGGAGAAUGGAUGAAUAAGGGAACUAUCUGAUUGUGGCCUAUUUGAUGGAAUAUUACUCUGCAAUCAAAAGGAACAGACUGAGACUGAUACACGCAGCAUGGAUGAGUCUUCAGGACAUUGUGUCAAGUAAGAGAAGUCAGAUUCAAAAGAUGAAGUCCUUUCCUGAGCACUUACUACAUGCCAGACACCAUACCAGGGCUGGCUACAUACUCUGUUGGGAAGAAGGCUCAAAAAUGAAUCCUCUCAAGCAGACCCGCUUUGGUUUCCACCCCUCUAUUCUGAGAACCCAAGCUCAACCCAUGUGUUCUGCCUUCAGGUAGAAAAUGUCAGAAUCAUAGGGAAGACUAAGCUGAAAAAAGAAUUUGGAGUUCCAAAGGAAUUCUGUGCCACCUGCCGUCCGGCAAUUCCCUUUGCCAGGUAAUGGCAUGACAGUAAAGACGCACUCUGUUCUGAAUAAGCAGAGAACCGGCUUGGCCUAGGACUUACGUUGAGUGUUACCAGAUGGUGCUGUGCAGCUCCAGGCUCUUAGUGUCCUGACCGAAGAAUUGGACGAGAUACACACAGAUAGCAAAGCAGCAAAAGUGUAUGACGCAUAGUAUUACACUCCCAGAGAGGGGAGAGUGGACUGACCUCUGCGAAAUGAGAUCAACGUCAAUUUGGUGUACUUUGAAUUCUUUUAUAUAUUUUUUCUCUUCUGUGGCCAAGACUGCCUGAUGUCUAGCCAGUGUCUGCCUUUUGAUGGACAGGUGGGCUGCUUAGUUAUUUAAUACUAUGGCCCGUGUGCGCUUGUGACUUCUUGCGAGUCACCUCCAUCCCAUAAUUUUAAGUACGUGCAUAAUAUGCAGUCCAUAUGCAUGAACCUUAAGUAGCUAAUUACCAUACGGGAACAUUUUAAGGAUAUGUUUUCUGUCUAACGUGCAUGCUCAUCUCUGAGGAGCUGCCCCUGACAGGUUUGGUCCAGAUCUAGGCGGCCAUGUGGGCUCCUUACUCACUUUUUUAAAAUCUCACUUUUGUUUUGGCUGCUCAGCCUCUGCUUCAUAUCUCACUUCUUGCUCACUCGCCCCUUCACCUUGCUUCUGCUCUCAUGCUCUCACUCAUUCUUCCUGUAUCCAGUCUCUGGUUCCCUCUCUACCAUCUCCUGCCUCAAAAGUGCUGCUCAGCAUAUAAUUUCUCUUUGUAAGUUGUGGUUCUUGAUUUUGGGAAAUGAGUUUCCAUCUUGCUGAACUUCUUAACUAGAGAAUACUGUUGGGAUGUGUCUACAUCUAUGUGACACUACUGGGAUCCCUUGAAUCCUAUUUAGAGUCUAAAAGAGGGACAUUGUUACUUAAAGGCGGUGGCCAUUUAGCUGUCCCUCUUAGAUUUGGUUCAUAUAAUUUCUGAUUUUCAUGUCAGAUUAUAAUCUGUAAACUCCUACUCAGGUCACUGCACCACUUUGAUGGAAUUUCCAUUCCCUUUGUCCUCAAGAUUUGUCUAAAGAUAUUUGGCUUUGACAGAAUUUUGGGUUCUUCAGUUUUCUUUUUAAUUAUAAAAUAUACAUACAAAUGAACAUUAAGCAUAUGUAGUUGUGUGAGUAAUUAUAAAACAAACUUAAUGUAUCACCAAAUCAAAGAAUAGCUCAUUGCCCCAGAAGCAACCCCAGUCCCCUAAUAACAACCCCUCCCUUUCUCCCUCUCUCCAGAAAUGAGCCAUAUAAUACCUCUUGUGCAAAUUACUUUUUUGCUUUUCUCUAGAUUUUUUUCCU